rnacentral:rRNA from 1 species
CACGUAGGGUGCGAGCGUUGUCCGGAAUUAUUGGGCGUAAAGAGCUCGUAGGCGGUGUGUCGCGUCGGCCGUGAAAACCUGCAGCUUAACUGUGGGCUUGCGGUCGAUACGGGCAUCACUGGAGUUCGGCAGGGGAGACUGGAAUUCCUGGUGUAGCGGUGAAAUGCGCAGAUAUCAGGAGGAACACCGGUGGCGAAGGCGAGUCUCUGGGACGUAACUGACGCUGAGACGCGAAAGCGUGGGGAGCAAACAGG